UGUAACGUUUGACCACUCGUCUUAUUCAAAUUUUUUUGAAAUUAUUAUUUAUUUUAUUUGUGACUUACUUUAUUAUCUACAGUACUUUAAGCACAACUUUUAUUUUUUAUAUUUACAAAAAAAAUUUGAAUAAGACGACUGGUCAAACGUUGCAAACAAAAACUCA
rnacentral:pre_miRNA from 1 species